GGUCCAUCGGCUGGCCAGAACUAGAUUUUUCCAUCACAGGUCCUGAAGGAAACAGUGAUUAUACAGAUCUACAAGGAGACUUGCUUACAGAUGGACAGCCUAAUACAGCUGCAGGAAAAUUAGGAGGAUGAUUUCAAUGAGCACAAGGUUUUAAUGACUGCCCUCUGCCCUCCCUGCCUCGGCCGCCGCACAACCAACUUGCGCCGCCUCACUCCAAGGCCAUGUGAGCCUUGUGCCUGCACAUGCCCGCCAGGUCUCAUGGCCACGUGGAACAGGGUGGGCCUGUGGAUGUCAGCACAGAAGGCAAGGUCGACGGCUUCACCCAAGAAGCAGUUCAGGCAGCCAUCAUCCCCAUGUUGGACCAGGUCAACACCUGCCUGGACCACCUGGAGGAGAGGAAUGACCACCUCCCUGGCCGCCUCCAGGAGCGCUUGAAUCUAGCUGGCAGACACAUCUUGAGUUCCAGCAGCCAUGCUCAGAGGCCCCAAGCGAUUGGCAGCCCCUAGUGGAGCCCUAGGGGCCCUGGGGCCAGGCCUCAACCCUGCCUGCCUGAGCCCUCACCACCUGGCUUAGGGUGGCCUGCAGAUGUCUUGGGGGAUCUGCCUGCCUGGGCCAUCCUUCUGGUACUUCCCUUUGUGGGCCUGGCAUAUCCCCACCUCCUGGCAGGUGUGGGCCUGUGACCCACCUAACUUGCCUGCCUGCUCAACUCCUGGAUGCUCUCACUCUGCCCAGGCCUUGAGUGUUCACACUGAAGUAGUCUCCAACAGUGUGUGCACACUCACCACACAUACACACAUAAAAGGUCUGUAAUAGUCUCAAGUUUUUAUAAUAUGGGCAAACCUCAUACAAAAGAAGGGGUUAGGCUUGAUUUGGUGGAUUCUAAAUGGAGGCCAAAUGUCCCUUUUGAGAGGGUCCUUGGCUUUAUCAGGGGAGUUCGGAUGCCUUCUGGCUUGACCUCAACCGCAAUUACAAAAAAUGCACAUACUAAGCAGUGUGCAGUUGUUACCUGAUGCUAAGUGUUCCUGGGAACUGGUAGAAUAAUCCUAGAUGAGAGGGUCAGGGUCUCCCUGAGCCUUCUGAGUUUCAGCCUCUGAGAAGAACCCUUUUUUCCUAACCUCCAUAAGCACUCCCUCCACUCUGU
ensembl:lncRNA